rnacentral:lncRNA from 1 species
UUAAGCACACACUUCCUCUAAAUCCUUUCAAAAUAAAAGCACCAAGCCAAAUGAUUAGCUUUAAUAGCAAUAUUUCUGCUUUUAGAUGGGUAAUUAUGACAAUUUAAAGAUAGAUUAACAGUUUAGUAAUUACCCACAGAUGCUUCCUCUACAUAUUUUCAAAAUAAAAGCACCAAUGCAAUUUAUUAGCUUUAACUGCACUGUUUUUGCCUUUUAAUGGGUAAUUAUGAUUAUUUAAAGACUAAAUGACAGUUAUGCUAUUACCCCCACACAUUUCCUCUAAAUCCUUUCAAAAUAAAAGCACCAAUUACAAUUUAUUGCCUAUAAUGGCAAGAUUGAUUAGAAAUUUAUCUAAAUAUAACAAUAUUUGAUAAUCUUAAUUUAAAUCUUUUGCUUUAAUAGGGCUAUUCUUGCUAUUGAAUGAUAAAUUAUGACUAUCUAAUGACUAUUUAUAGUUUAGCAAUCACUCACACACAACUCCAAACCCUCUCAAAAUAAAAGGACCAAUGUUAUUUAUUGUCAUGAUCUGGGUUUUUGUUCUAGUUGUUUCCUGUUGUCACGCCAUGUCCUGUUUUAUUUUGUUAAACUUCCUGUUCUCUGUCAGCUGUCACUUACCUGUUCCCAGUAUCCACACCUGUCAGUAAUUACGUAAUCACUCUGUGUAUUUAGCCACCACCUGUUCCCAUAGUCCUUUGCCAGAUUGUCGAGUUUCUUGAGUUUCGUGAGUUUCCUGAGUGUCUUUAGUUUCCCGAGUUCCUUGAGUCUUCUUGAAGUUUCCCGUGUUUCGUGUUCCGUGUUCCGUGUUCCUCGUGUUUUGUUCCCGUUUGCUUUCACCGUCGUUUCCUGCCUGACCCUGGACUACGAUCCGACCGUGAGUUUUGCUUUCCCUGCCUGUACUUUUGCCGUGACCUUCCGUGUACCGAACCUCGCCUACGUACUGGACUCGAGAUCGCCUGCUCCCCUUUGUACCUUUUGCUGAGCCUUUUGUGUAUGACCUGGACCGUCUCACUCCGCUUAUAGCAAUAAACCUGUGUUUGAUCAUUAUCCUGCCUCGGUG